UACGAAGGGUGCAAGCGUUACUCGGAAUUACUGGGCGUAAAGCGUGCGUAGGUGGUUUGUUAAGUCUGUUGUGAAAGCCCCGGGCUCAACCUGGGAAUGGCAAUGGAUACUGGCAGGCUAGAGUGCGGUAGAGGGUAGUGGAAUUCCCGGUGUAGCGGUGAAAUGCGUAGAGAUCGGGAGGAACACCAGUGGCGAAGGCGGGUCUCUGGGCAGUAACUGACGCUGAGGAGCGAAAGCGUGGGGAGCGAACAGG
rnacentral:rRNA from 1 species